ACUAGCAGGAUCUCUGGCGUUGGGAAGAGUCCCUGUUACCCCUUUUUUCCCUUUUUACCGAAUAAAACCCUGCCUUACUCACCCUUCAGGUCAUCUACAAUCCUAACUUUUCAUGGCUCUGAGACAAAGACUCCGUCUUUUGGUGAACUAAGGAAAUGUCCUGCAACAUUUUUGGCACACAGCAUAGGACUUGAGAAGUGGGACAAGAAAGACCAGGUGCCUUGCUGGAAAAAACUAGAUCCUGCUGACCAUAGCAUUAUUUUGGAAAACUUCUGUUGGUGUGGGUGCCUUGUCUGGUGGGAUAAAGAAGGCCAUCAUACCUAAGAACACCAUGUAGCCACUGUGGAAAAGAGACUUAACUAAAUGGGCAUGAUGGCUGUUAUUAGGGUGAUGAAAAUCUUCCAAAGCUGACUUAUGGUGAUGGUUGUCGCACUCAG
rnacentral:lncRNA from 10 species